GUUGGCUAUGGCGAUAUGGUCCCGACUACAAUCGGUGGCAAAAUUGUUGGUUCUCUCUGUGCUAUUGCGGGUGUGUUGACCAUCGCCUUGCCCGUACCUGUAAUUGUGUCUAAC
rfam:Takifugu rubripes chromosome, Chr_19